UACGGAGGGUGCAAGCGUUAUCCGGAUUCACUGGGUUUAAAGGGUGCGUAGGAGGGCAGGUAAGUCAGUGGUGAAAUCUCCAAGCUUAACUUGGAACUGCCGUUGAUACUAUCUGUCUUGAAUACCGUGGAGGUGAGCGGAAUAUGUCAUGUAGCGGUGAAAUGCUUAGAUAUGACAUAGAACACCAAUUGCGAAGGCAGCUCGCUACACGAAUAUUGACUCUGAGGCACGAAAAGCGUGGGGAUCAAACAGG
rnacentral:rRNA from 1 species